rnacentral:rRNA from 1 species
UACGUAGGGUGCGAGCGUUAAUCGGAUUUACUGGGCGUAAAGCGUGCGCAGGCGGCCCGUUAAGACAGGUGUGAAAUCCCUGGGCUCAACCUAGGAAUUGCGCCUGUGACUGGCGGGCUAGAGUACGGUAGAGGGGGGUGGAAUUCCUGGUGUAGCAGUGAAAUGCGUAGAGAUCAGGAGGAACACCGAUGGCGAAGGCGGCCCCCUGGGCCUGUACUGACGCUCAUGCACGAAAGCGUGGGGAGCAAACAGG